GACGAACGCUGGCGGCGUGCUUAACACAUGCAAGUCGAACGGAAAGGCCCUGCUUUGGUGGGGUGCUCGAGUGGCGAACGGGUGAGUAACAAGUGAGUAACCUGCCCUUGACUUUGGGAUAACUUCAGGAAACUGGGGCAAAUACCGGAUAGGAGCUCCUGCUGCAUGGUGGGGGUUGGAAAGUUUCGGCGGUUGGGGAUGGGCUCGCGGCUUAUCAGCUUGUUGGUGGGGUAGUGGCUUACCAAGGCUUUGACGGGUAGCCGGCCUGAGAGGGUGACCGGCCACAUUGGGACUGAGAUACGGCCCAGACUCCUACGGGAGGCAGCAGUGGGGAAUAUUGCACAAUGGGCGGAAGCCUGAUGCAGCAACGCCGCGUGCGGGAUGACGGCCUUCGGGUUGUAAACCGCUUUCGCCUGUGACGAAGCGUGAGUGACGGUAAUGGGUAAAGAAGCACCGGCUAACUACGUG
rnacentral:rRNA from 1 species